AGUGAACGCUGGCGGUAGGCCUAACACAUGCAAGUCGAACGGCAGCACAGUAAGAGCUUGCUCUUACGGGUGGCGAGUGGCGGACGGGUGAGGAAUACAUCGGAAUCUACUUUUUCGUGGGGGAUAACGUAGGGAAACUUACGCUAAUACCGCAUACGACCUACGGGUGAAAGCAGGGGAUCUUCGGACCUUGCGCGAUUGAAUGAGCCGAUGUCGGAUUAGCUAGUUGGCGGGGUAAAGGCCCACCAAGGCGACGAUCCGUAGCUGGUCUGAGAGGAUGAUCAGCCACACUGGAACUGAGACACGGUCCAGACUCCUACGGGAGGCAGCAGUGGGGAAUAUUGGACAAUGGGCGCAAGCCUGAUCCAACCAUACCGCGUGGGCGAAGAAGGCCUUCGGGUUGUAAAGCCCUUUUGUUGGGAAAGAAAAGCAGCAGGUUAAUACCCCGCUGUUCUGACGGUACCCAAAGAAUAAGCACCGGCUAACUUCGUG
rnacentral:rRNA from 1 species